rnacentral:lncRNA from 1 species
GUUUUUCUGUGGAGUCACUGUCCUCUUUGGGAAUUUUAUUCCUUCUCUCAACUCUUCUGCAAGACUCCCUGAGCUCCAUCUAAUGUUUGGGUGUGGGUCUCUGUAUCUGGUGCCUUUGUCUGCUGGAUUGAGCCUCUCAGAGAACAGUUAUGGUAUGCUUUUCUUUGCAAGCAUAACAGAGUAUCCUUAAUAGUGUCAGGGAUUGGUUCUUACCCAUGGAAUGGAUCUCAAUUUUGGCCAGUCAUUGGUUGGCUAUUUCCUCUGUCUCUGUUUUAUCUUAGUCCCUGCACAUUGUGUAGGCAGGACACAUUUUUGGUCAAAAGUUUUGUGGGUAGGUUGCUAUCCUUACUCCUCCUUUGUGAGUACUGCCUGGCUACAGGAAGUGGUCACUUCAGGAUCCAUAUCCCACACUGCUAGGAGUCUAAUCUGGAAUCUACACCAUUAGUGCCUCCACAAUCCCUGUCCCAGGUUUCUAGGUGUUGCAGGCCCUAAAACUGGAAUGACAGAUGGUUAUACCUUCUUGAUGCUGAGAAUUGAGCAUAGAUCCUCUGCAAGAGCAGUCCGUGAUAUUAAUUACUGAGCCAUCUUCUAGUCCUCUAAAUGAAUUCUUCUAACUAAUAUGCUUAAUACAAUCUAUGGUACUCAGUAUGUGUUGAAUAAUUAUAAGCCAUGGAAAAGUAUUGUAAUGGAGAAUGACUCCAUUCUGUACAAUAGAAAGCAAGGCCCAACAAGGCUUGGAGACAGAGACAGUAAAGUGAUAGAACUGUGUCUCAGCUCUUGAACUCUUGAUCCCUCUUUUUCUCUCAUCACACUAAAGCAAGUCAAAAUCUUAUGUAAAUUUUAAAAAUUAAUUUUAAGUAACUUUGAUAAUAUUAAAAAUAGAUUUGUAAAUAACAGCAAACAGCAUGAGUGGUAUCAGAAUUUUGGACUACAUUAAAUAAUAAAAUAAUAUAUAAACAAUUAAAACUAUGUUAUAAUAUAACAACAAUCUAUUAAUAUUUAUUUUGUCUAUUAGCAAAAAAAAGUUUGUUUCAUGUCUUCAUUCUGAGAUUAAGUCUGAGAUUAGAUAUUAUCUAAUGUCAUCCUGUUUCCCAGAUAAGACAAUGGAGCAAGAAGGAAAAGUCAGAGACAUGUAGCUAACCCAAGGAGAAAGGUAGAUAGAAUUCCCACUCAGCCAGCCUUCUCCAGCUCUCUCUGCAUUGCCUUCACCUUUCUCAUUUCAUGCCUCUGGAAUAGUAAGAGAUGGGUGAGCACUCAGCCUUGUAGUUGGCAUGAUUAACCCAAGGAUAGAAACUGACUUCUGGUAUUUAUUAGUAACAAUUUUUCAAGAAAAAAUCCUAUUUUUAAAAAAUUGGCAUAAAAAGUACAAUAGACCAGCUCAAAGUAAAAUUUCCUUCCAAGAGACCUCUUUGUAAUCCAUAUAAACUCUGUGUAGGCCAUUAAACUCUUUGCUGUCUUGGGGAUUGUGUCCCCUUAGUUGGACUUAAUGUAAGAAUAAAUUAUCCUGCAUGUCAUACCACAUCAGGCCUAGUAGAGCUCAGUAUGUGACUAUUAGCUUGUCAUUUCAGAAGCCAACACAAUAGAUCCUCUGCUGAUGACACUUGCAAUGUUUAAAUAAAACCAGUCCCAGUUUAUGAUUGAAGAAGCCAUCAUCUUUCAUUAGAAUGAGAGAAUAAAUUUUCAGCACCAGGCUACUAACAUGUUUGAAUGGUUCAAUUCAUUUUCUAACAGGUCACAGCCAAUAUCCAUUACAGAGCAGUCUUGUUGGAAACAUUCUCUAUGACAAAGAGAUGUGUUCUCCCGUGACAAGAAAUAAGGGGAGGGAGAAGAGAGAAAAAGCCCUAAAUGCACUAAAUGUUUAUAUUGUAGGAAUUGGCCAGUAAUAGCCUUCUCAUGUCAGUGAGAAGAGGAAGUUAGGGAUAAGAAGGACCACAGGUCAUUACCAGUUAAGACUGGCUGCAGGUGGCUGAAGCUACUGAAACCAGGGUCUACCACCAGCCACAGACAUCCACCAAUAGAAAGGGACAUCAGACCAAAGCCUGGAAUGCAGACUACACUCUAACUCUGUCACUAUCUCCGUAUUUGAGCAUCUUACAGUCCUGUGCUUGACACGGGCUAGAGGAUAAAAAAGGACACAGUACAGAGAAUUGGGGAAAUUGAAAGUUAUAGAAUCAUAUUAGAGUGUGGAUUCCACUAGGAGCUACCCUCCUAGAACUUGGAGGUGACAUAUGUGACAGUCUUUAACUUACAAAGUGGUAAACUAUGUGCAUGGUUAUGAAUUUUUAACAGGGGACUUAACUGAGAAAAUGCAAAUGACUUUUUGACCAAAAGGCUUGGAAAUAUUUGAAAGUGUGGAAUAUGGAAAUGGUGUAGGGAUAUGCAUGAGAUAUUUUAAGAUCUACAUGCUCGAUCAGUUUUAUUUGGGGGAAAGAUAGUAAUACUGAGAGUGCAUAGCCUGAAAAACAGAAAAAAAAAUUAGAGGCUCUGAUAGAUCUGUGUUGUUUCUGAUUCUGCAUCUGAAAGGAUGUAGACAAGCUUAUCAUCAGUGAAGAUGGACUGAUGUGCCCCAGAGCUUGAAACACUUGAAUAUGCACUGAGUAUUGUAGGGAUAUGCCAUUCACUUACCUUCUAACUGCUUAACAGACGUCCCUUGGUCCCCAGGAAGAGAAUACCAAAAGAUGUACAGUAUCAAUCCCUGGUUUACCUAUGGUUACAUGGUUUAUGUUGGUGAUACUGGAAAUAAGUAAAUCUGCUUUCUGGUGGGAUUCCUAUAAUAAAUCUGCCCCAGGAAGUCUGUGCAACUAUUGACCAACUCCAAAAUUCUAGGACAUCUCAUAAUUGCAUUUCUCAUCCUAUGUUAAUUAAUAUAUAGUCUAACUGAACUAUAGCCAUCAUGAAGAGCAUCUUCAUAUGUAUCCCUGGGAAAUGGAUAUUUAUGAAGGGACAGGCAAGAUGCGAUUUAAAACCACAUUCUGCCAAGUGUUGAAGGCUUUGGAUCAAUUCUCUCUGUUAAAAUGAGAGUAACAGUCCAAGUUCCAUCUGCUUGGAUGGAUGCGGAGGGUCCUCAUUUACCCCUCUGAAUCUUUCUUCUUAGGUCCUAUAGUUUAAAACUACAUUUCUCAAGCAAGAGAGGCAACUCAGUCAUUAAGAGUGCAUACAAACUCCUUUUCCAGAGGACCUGAGUUCAGAUUCCAGUACCUAAGUCCAGUGGCUCACAACCACCUGAAUCUAGUUCCACAGGAUCCAAUAGUAUCUUCUGCCCACCUCAGAUACCUGCACAUACGUGGCUGGCCCUCACCCAUUCACCUGCACACAUACAUACAUACAUACACACACAUACAUACAUACUUACAAAUAAAUGACAAUUUUAAAAUAAGUAACUGUAAAAGGGAAGUAUGUAAUGUAUUGGAAAUUUUUGAUGGAACUUAAAUGUCAUGAGACAGUAUUGAUAAGUGAGACCAUUUGGGAGGUAGUUAAAUAUCAAUGCCACAGUCUUCUUGAAUGUGAUAGUGACUUUUGAGGAGGAGGAAUGGUCUUGCUGGGCCCUUGUACACUUUUUAUUCUCCGCGAACACAUAAGGACAUAGAAGUACCCCCUUCUGGAGCUCAAAGCAGGAAGAUGCCAACGUAGAGGAAAGGAGUAGCCUUCAGCAGGC